ACAUUAUUUGAAAAUAAACGGCUUUUAUCUGUUCUUAUCAGCUUAAUAUCUGAUACAAUCCCCAUAGGGGAUUCAGAAUAUUAAACUGAUUUUUGGAACCGGGCGGGUGACCGGAGCUUGCUCCGACUCUGCCGCGGGUCGGCCUGGCAUUGCAGUACCGUCAGGAACGGCCUAAUAAAC
rfam:Lasius niger Lnig_2.1_10147, whole genome shotgun sequence.